AGCAAAAACAGGGGAAGAGAGAGAGAGAGGGAGAGGGAGAGAGAGAAUAGGAUGAAGUGGGAGGAACCUGCAGAAGCAGAGGAAUCUCCGUGCAUGUCCCUGAAAGUCCGAUCCUGUGGUCACCUGUUUCCCUUCCAACCUCUCUUUAUCUGAGAUUUUGGUUAUAGGUUUGAAGGUUAAACAAUUUGAGGAAGUUUCAUGGGAUUUAUUUUCAUCUAAGACUCGAAACGAGGGAUUGAGGAGACCGAAUAUCUGGAUUCUAAAGGCUCGAGCCAGUGAACUAUUCUUUUGGGAAUUAUCUAUAAGCUUCUAGCUGCGCGGAAGAACCACUUUUUGAUAUCGGGGAUCAGCUCGGAGAACUAGGUAAGGACUUUAGUUAUUUGAUAGAUAUUCUUUUUGUAUAGAAUGGAUUUGAAAAUGUUACGAUCUGAAAAUUUUGUUUAGUGUAUUAUUGAUGUUUAGAAUUUGCUGGAUUGAUUAUAUAUAUUUUGGGGGAUUUAUGGAAAAUAGGAUUUUAUGCAAAUAGUUUUUACGUGAUAAUGGAUUGGAGGAAAUAUAGGGGAAAUUUUGCCGAAAUUUCGGGUCGUGACAGCACUCAUGAAGACAGAGAUGUUAGAAUGGAAGAGAGGUUCGUCAGGGAAGUAGGAGAAAUUCUAGACAUGUCUAUGCCAUCAAGAGCAAGUUCUCUCAGCUGCGUGAGAUUACGUAUAAGCCAUCUGAAAGUAUCAUAGUCUAUUGAUAGAAGCCUUCGAGCAUAGGAACCACAAAAAAGAUCGAGUAAAAUUAGUCCGGAAAGGUGAGAGAUCUCUAGUGGAGCAGGACCCUGGAAGGCAGAAUGAGAGAGAUUAAGAUGCGUCAUUCUGCCUAAAGUACCGAACCUGGGUGAAAUUCUUGAGCCCUUGAAAUGAUUACCAGCAAGGUUGAAACGCCAAAGAUUGGGGAGCGAGAAGAGAGUGCUGUUAAAAUGGAGGGCUCCGAGGAGCCAACUGCAACUAAGGUCGAGGCCGAUCACGUAAUUUGUUGCUGAGUGGCAUGUGAUCCCAUCCCAUGAGCAGCAAUCAGUGCCCUUCUUGCACGAGGCCGUCUUUGGAUAUGAAGUGAUGGAGGCAAGUUCAUUGCAGUAGUAUUCAGAGGCACUUCUUGAGAUGACGAAUGAAUUGCUAAACCGAAGCCAGGCUGCACACUCAUCGAUAUGGCUCCUAUGCUGGGACGAAUGGGAUGAUGUGGUGAGAACAGAAACAUCUAUUAUAGAAUGCCGUAGGAAAGCGAGGAGGAAAAGUAGAGGCAAAUGUUCCUCAUGAUCUUUUUACUAGUGCUGAUCACUGACUAAGGAUGAAAUUGUCGUGUUAUGAUGGAAUGAAUUACCUUACGGUAACUCAUUUCUUUUGAUUCAUCGUCCUUAACAUAUGUCUUUUUCUUUUGUCUUAGAGCCGAUGAUUAAGCUUUGGCUUGACCAUCUCCUCCUUCACCAACUCUGGAAUAUAAUGAGCCAUAUGUCCGAACAGCAUUCUGCCGGCAGAAUUUUGAUUUCAGAACAUCAGCAUCAUCGGUUGACUGCAUAACUUAACUUAUAGAUGUUCGAAUUAACAAGCUAGCUGCAAGAGCCUGCCCCAAUUUACAAUUAAUUUCUUUUUUUAU